AAGACCCUGAGCCCUCGACCUCUGCCCCCAUCUCCUUCUCCCCGAGCCCUCGACCUCUGCCCCCAUCUCCUUCUCCUCCACCUCCCCUGCCUUUCUCCUCUUCUCCACCCCCGACCUUACUUUCUCCUCCAUCUCCGCCCUCAUCUACGCCCCCGAGCUGCCCUAUUCCUAUUUCUCUCCUUCUUCUCUGCCGCCCGAGCUGCCCUAGCCGUCACCCUGUAGCCCCUUCUUGUCUCUCCAUCUUCCUGUGAAUUUUGAGGUAGCCAUGGAAGGUUACAAGUUCAGUGGGCUGUGGGGGCACAGCUAAGGCUAACCUGAUUCUCUCCACAUGCAUCCUUCAAAGGGCGUGGACCUCCAUCUCCGAGCUCCAACAAUCGGGCAAACUCCCCUUCAUCGUCAACGAUCGUUUCCGCAGCUUCACAAUCGUAGCUUUUAAUGACUUGCAGAACCAGACGCAAGACCUCCACCUCCUCUCACCCAUUCUUGCUCCCCUGCAGCCAACCCAUCCCGACUUCGGUUUCCUCAUCAGCAAGGACAAUCCCUCCAUCUCCCUCCACGCCUCCCCUCUCUCCACCUUCCUCCGCCUCCUCUGCACCACCGACCUCAAAGCCCAGUCCGCAGCAACUAUGGGGAGAACCACUGUAGUCCUUCCACCAUUUUUCUUCUGCAACUGUUCUCUUCAAGUAGUCUUCUUGAACAAAGAAUUCUGUUACAAUGUAAAAAAUUAGGUAAUUUUCCUUUUAUUAAAUUCAUUCAGAUUCUCUGCUUUGUGCGUCAGUGAGUAGUAGUGCUUCUUAUGCGUUCUGCACGUCCGCAUUUGAGUCAGACCACACCGACAAUUUACCAGAGGGUUGAAUGAUAUCUAAGUUAAGGGACAGCAAGUAUCACCAACAGGAACAACUAAAUAGCACCUGCCUGUAGAUACAAGAAGACCCCCCGAAGUACACAACUCAUUGGCAGCAGAAACAUGCCGGUAAAGUGGUUUGCAACUUAUUUUUCUGCUUCUUAGCAGAACUCAGAGAAGCAAAAAAACUCGUCUUAAAGGAUGGUAAACAAGAACGGAAGCAGAGUCUGGGAAAAAGCAGAUAAGCUGACGAUAUUAUCCUAAUACAAGCUUGACAAAGAAAUUAAAGCAGUGAAUUCUCAGCUACAUAAUAUUUUAACUGACAAAUGGAAUUCUAUUGAAAAUAAAACAGCCUUCAUGGAACUAUCAGGUUAAACCUCUUUGUCCUUAUGUACUGCAGAAGAAACUUGCAGGAUUUAUAAGUGAAACACUGAAACAGGUCUGUAGUUGUAUUUGUAGAAAAUAUGAGGACAACAAAUGUUAUUUUGAAGAAAAUCAAAUGUUUUUAAGUAGAUUGAUUAAAGAUCCAAUGGUUUUUGUAGUUGUUUUUCUGAAAAACGAAAUCUGAAACACAUCAUUUGCGUAGCAAUCUGUGGAAACUGGGGAAUGAAUUGCAACUUUCUGGAAUGAGUUGAAAUCUAAUUGGAUCUGAACCCGUCUACCCAUGCACAUAAACAUCAUUCAGUUGUUUAUCCUAUUUUAUUAUUUUCAAAAGCUUCCACUAGUCAAAGUUUAAGCUUAUGCAGUCUUAAUUUAUGCUUUGAUGAAAGAAUGUAAGGGUCUAUCAUAAAUAUGAAUGUAUAUUUGAAAGUUGCUUCUCAGAACAGAUGAGACAUAAAACUUGUAAAAUGCUUCAUUAGAUCGUCUAAAGUUUGGUUGUUUGAAAGAUUUUACCAUGUCUAUAUUCUCUACAUGGACAGGCUUUUCUUCUGACUUACGGCAGUAUGCUUCUUUUGACUGGCAAAGAAAUUUGGGGUUAAUGAGUCUAGAAUUAUGUUUCCAAAGUUGUAGCAGAGGAAGUUUAAAGGACAGUUUGGCCAUGGUUGGGGAAAAGAGAACGUUAGGUUAACAACAUCUAAUUGCAAAGCAUGGCCUUGAAAUUUUAAGUGGCCUUUUACUUUUAACCAGUCUUCACCAGGAACACGUCUCAGUGUGUAUUAUACAUUCUCCCAAGCACAUGGCUAAUGGAUUCAACUUCAUUUUCAAACUGAAGGAGAAAGUUCAAAACCCAUGCUGCCCCAUGCUGCCUCUCUUGGAAAAUCUUGUUGAUGCCUGCCAAAAGUAAACUUCUUGUUGAUAGAAAGCAAGAUUGUUAUCUUGCUACUAACAUCACAAGGAGCUGACAAAAAAUGUCUUUACAAGCAGAUUUCAAAAGGAGGGAAGCAGAAGUUGGGAACAGACGCCUGACCUACAACACAACACCGACAUUAUGUCAUGAACGGCAGCUGUUCCAUUCUCCAACUUUAUUUCUAAAGAACCAAAUUGGUUGGAGACAAGGAGGCGAAGGGUAGCGUGAAGCUGGUGCGUGAUAAUCACAUUCACGAGGACAUCAACGCGAAUGUGUCAAUGGAAUAAGUUAAAAGAAGACAGAGCAAUGGUUCCUUCUAAUUCGUCCUUUCUUUCUCGUGCCUUUCAAUUUGUACCCACAUGAAACUCAAUCGACAAAGAGCCUGAAUAAUCCAUUCCUGCGCAUUGAA